rnacentral:piRNA from 1 species
UGUAAUGGUUUCAUGGGGAUCACCAGU